ACCGUCGACAGUCAGGUAACGAGCGAGACCCACGCCAACAGUUGCCAGCUCGUCCUCCGGGAUGGUGGGGACACUGUUGGGACCGCCUCUGCUAAAGAGGAGGAAGGAAUGGGCAACGGUAGGUCAGCAUGCCCCGAAUUAUCUGGGCUACACGCGGGCUACAAUGGGUGGGACAAUGGGUAUCGACACCGAAAGGUGAAGGCAAUCUCCUAAACCCAUCCUUAGUUCGGAUUGUGGGUUGCAACUCACCCACAUGAAGCUGGAAUCCGUAGUAAUCGUGUCUCAAAAUGGCACGGUGAAUAAGUCCCUGCUCCUUGCACGAAUUCGCCG
rnacentral:rRNA from 1 species